GUCCCGCCAGCCCCUUAGGGUCGUUCUCCACGUGGUGCUUAAAAAUCCCAGGGCCCGCGCGGGGCCCAUUAACACAGUCUCUGGGCGGUGGACCGACGCACCCAAUUCGGGGGGUCGGUGGGGGAUGGAGCAGCUGCCCAAGUGAUUCCCAGGUGCCGCCAUGGAGGACGUGCGCUGGGAAGGCGGGGGCCGGGUUCGAGCAGGAGGGCCCUUGGCUCCGACGCGGCCCCUGUGCUCCGGAAGCGAACGCUGCCUCGGACAAGCCACAGCAGAUCAACGCUGAGCCCUUCCCACCGGGGUCCAGGUGCUGGGAUCCAUCAGCGAGCAGACCAGACACACCCGCCCUCCUGGUGGACCCGACUUUCAGGUGGACACCCGGAGGCCAGAGAGUCCCUGGGGCUCCACUCGCCAGGGGACAUAUGGAGCGGGUCUGUAGGAAAGCCACAGAAAUCCACAGGGUCCCCCAUCCCUGGGGGGACACCGGCGAGGCUCCCCAUCUGUGCUCUGCACCCCGCUCCCAAGCACUGGCCAGAGCCCGCGGAUUCCAUUC